GAAUAUUGUGUCCAAAUGUUUUUUUUUUUUUUUUUUUUUUUUUUUUUUUUUUUUUUUUUUUUUUUUUUUUUUUUUUUUUUUUUUUUUUUUUUUUUUUUUUUUUUUUUUUUUUUUUUUUUUUUUUUUUUUUUUUUUUUUUUUUUUUUUUUUUUUUUUUUUUUUUUUUUUUUUUUUUUUUUUUUUUUUUUUUUUAUUUUUUUUUUUUUUUUUUUUUUUUUUUUUUUUUUUUUUUUUUUUUUUUUUUUUUUUUUUUUUUUUUUUUUUUUUUUUUUUUUUUUUUUUUUUUUUUUUUUUUUUUUUUUUUUUUUUUUUUUUUUUUCUUUUUUUUUUUUUUUUUUUUUUUUUUUUUUUUUUUUUUUUUUUUUUUUUUUUUUUUUUUUUUUUUUUUUUUUUUUUUUUUUUUUUUUUU
rnacentral:lncRNA from 1 species